UACGAAGGGGGCAAGCGUUGUUCGGAAUUACUGGGCGUAAAGGGCGCGUAGGCGGCUUAUCAAGUCAGGCGUGAAAUUCCCGGGCUCAACCUGGGGACUGCGCUUGAUACUGAUUGGCUUGAAUGCGGGAGAGGAUAGUGGAAUUCCCAGUGUAGAGGUGAAAUUCGUAGAUAUUGGGAAGAACACCGGUGGCGAAGGCGGCUAUCUGGCCCGUAAUUGACGCUGAGGCGCGAAAGCGUGGGGAGCAAACAGG
rnacentral:rRNA from 1 species